AGGCGAGUGUCGGGAAGGACGGUUGGGUUUACUGUUGUGGGCCUGCUUACAUGUGUAUGUAGUUUACAUGCGUGUGUGUACAAUGGCUAGUACAUUCAACAGGUAUCGAAGCAGCAACCACGCAAGCUCAUUUUUUUUCCGACAAGAUAUGAACUGUUCACGGCUCACACCGCCCACGGUAGUGCCUGUAAGUACUCGUCAAACAGGUAUCCAUGUUGUAUAUUCUCAUAUCGGUUAGACUUGCAGUGUGUGUUCGCAUGGUAUAAACACGACUGUGAUGUAUCGUUCACGACUGUAAUGUAUCGUAUGGACUGAGCUACUUUGCGGGGAGGGAGUUAUCUGUGUAUAUCACCAGGAGACCAAGCGACAUCAUGAAAGAACGUACAUGUCGGUUACUUUUCCAAACGCCUACUACCAUGUCAGUGGAUCCUCCCGCGGUAACACUUUUUGGGUUGUACGUCUGUUAAAACAAGCCAACAUCAUGUUUGAUCAUGCACCCAAUUUGAUUAUUUACUGUUAUGCAGUGUGGCAAGAUGUCUAUGGAGAAUGGAGAAGUCCAUUCCAAACAUUCGAUUCCUGGAUUCCCUUCCUACAGAAGAGGAGUUAAAAAGAUAUUAUUUAGAAUCAGAUAAAUGAUGUAUGUUGGUAGUAGAUGGCUUCAUGCAACAGGUUUGUUAAAGGUCAAUUGUUUUUACAUCCUAAUACCACACUAUCACGAUCUGGAAAUUCCUGUAAUUAACAUACAACAAUCAGCUUAUCCAAAAGGAGAAUGUAAAAGAACUAUGUGACUAAACACACAUCAGUUUGUGUUAUUCUCCAAGCCUCGUUUAGCACAUGAGUAUAAUAUUUUAGGACAAGCAAAGUGUUUUUCAGAAUCUUUUCAAGAUGCUGUAGGUAGAAAGAAAUAUGGUUGUCUGGUGUCGGAUUCCUUCCCCUUUGCUGAUGAACACUAUGGGCGUUUGAGUACAGUGAUAUUCCCUGAUGAGGUGUGCACAGUGUACCUGCUGCAGAUGUAGGGUGUUUAGUGUUUGAAAUACAUAAUCUCAUAUACAUACAUGUUACAUCAUUUCACUUUCAACACUCAAAGUGAACAGAACCAUGGAUGUGAGUGGUCGAGUCGAUGAUCAUGCUUCAGUACCAGACUGGGCAAUAAUAAUACAUUUCGACACACGAUUAGUGUCUUUCAACAGUCAUUGCAGAAGCAGGAUUUAUGUACACAGGCCAUCUGACAAGGUCUACUGUUUCAAAUGUAGACUACGAGCACAUUCUUGGAUACCAGAAGAAGAUCCUCUAACUGAACAUUUCAGACUGUUUCCACACUGUACCGUGAUUCGCUUUUUCAUCAUAUUACCUCAACGUAUACGUUCUCCAGUAGGUUUGGCAAACCUUUAAGACAUUUACAUGUUGCAAAACAUCUUACCAGAGAAAA